UUUACUCAAUAAUUGUUUUCAUCUCUCUAAAAAAUGAAAACCACAUCGACCAAUUCCAGUGGCCAAUUAAAUUAAAUUGGAAAGUUAUCGGCGAAGGUUUGGCUGGAAUCUCCUCAACUUCAAUGGCGGCGGCGCUGUUUCUCCUCUUACUGAGUUUGGGGAUACCGAGUUCACUUGCUUAUCGACCCGGGGAUAUAGUUCCUAUGAGUCGAAUGGGCCAAUAUCACGCUUCCAGAACAGUUUGGCACGACAUGAUCGGUAGACAUUGCCCGAUUUUCGCGGUUAAUCGCGAGGCGCUGAUUCCUAUACCUAAGCCCACUGGAUAUACUGGUGCUGAUCCGUACAAAAUAUCAUUUCAAGUUGGUCAAGAGAAAUUUUAUGUUCCUUGGCUUUUUGUUAUCAACCGAAAGAGUUCUGAAGUCCCAAUGAUUGAGAUGCAUCUGAGGUACUCAGGAGCUGAUUUACUUGGUGUCUCGUCAAAAGUUGUAGAUAUGCCAAACAAAUAUGUAGAACUUCAUCCCGACAUCCGUAAACAAUUUUGGGAUCAGCAAGUAUGGCCAAAACAUAUUCUUGUCAGAUACACCUGGGAGGAGCAGUCCGAGAUGGAUGUGGCUUCUGGAUUUUAUGUUCUCUUUGGAUCCGGCCCAAUCAGCCCACCCCAAUAAUUCUAACCCCAAUAAUUCCACAACCCCAAUCUGUCGCUUUUCAUCUCUACUCCUUCAGUCCUUCCACAAUCUGCCACCCACCGUCGCGCCGCCCCCGCCGCCUGUUGCAGCCUAGCCAGCACCCUCCAGCCCCACUCAGUGACUCAGCCACCGUCCAGCCAUACAGCCCCUCCUAUUCACAAUCUGCACCCUACAGCCCCUCCUAUUCACAAUCAUCCCCACUCAGUGACUCAGCCACUGCCCAGCCACUUGACGCCGCCACCCCUGCGCCGCCGCCGCCACCUACAGCAGCCGAGCACCUUCCAGCAACAGUCCAGCGACCAGCAGUCAGCUUUCCGACAAGAAUGUCUCAUGGAGAAGCUUCAACAGCUGCCACUAGUGGAAAAUGUUCGAAUAGAACUGAUCUAGGCUGGAAGUAUUGUUCUCCCAUUGAUGAAAAGUUGACUAGUAAAGUCAAAUGCAACUUUUGCAACAAAGAGAUGAACGGGGGCAUCACAAGAGCAAAAGAGCAUCUGAUGGGCAAGAAAGGAAAGGUUGCCCAUCAGAUGUGAUUAAUUAUAUUUAUUUUGUAAAUUCAUACAAGAAAGAGAAAUAGGCUCGAGCAUAAGAGGAUGCAAGAUUUGGUUUAUGUGAAAUAUAACCAAAAAUUGCAUGAUAGGAACAAGCUUAGUGCAACCGAUGAAUUUGAUCCUAUUAUUCUCGAUGAUAUUGAUGAGUGCAAUGAGUGGCUAGUUGGGGAGUUGGAUGAUGAUGAUGAUUAUAUUGAUGGUGGUAAUCAUUUGGUUCAUGAUGACGAUAAUACACUUGAUUGGAACAUGGUGUAUAAGGCUUCGGGUGUUGGAGAGCCUAGGACAUAUACUAGAUCAAAGAAGAGGAAAGAAUCUUCUACAUCUAGUUCAAGUUGUCUUAGAGUUUCUAAGAAAAAAGAACCUAUCAUACCUAGAAAAGGGAAAGGGAAAAGGAAAAGGCUUGCGCUUGUAGAUGAAGAAUCGGAAGAGGAAUAAUUUGAGGAUAGUGUAAGUGGAGAUCAAGAGGAUGAAGCAAUGGAGGAUGAAGAUGAAAUGGAUGCCGAUGAUAGUGAUGAUGAUGAGCUAGAAGACUAUGUUGAGCUUGAUGAUUGAUGUCUAUUGAGCUUAUCAUGGUUUUAUGUUUUGUUGAACACUUGAACUAAAGACUUUAAUUGCUAGACUUUUAUAUAAUUGUUUUCUAUUUUAUGCUUUA